GGCGAACGGCUGAGUAACACGUGGGCACCUGCCCUUUAGCACUGGGAUAGCCUCGGGAAACCGAGGUUAAUACCGGAUACUCCAUAUUUGUCGCAUGGCGAAUAUGGGAAAGCUCCGGCGGCAAAGGAUGGGCCCGCGGCCUGUUAGCUAGUUGGUGGGGUAGUGGCCUACCAAGGCAAUGAUGGGUAGCCGGGUUGAGAGACCGACCGGCCAGAUUGGGACUGAGACACGGCCCAGACUCCUACGGGAGGCAGCAGAC
rnacentral:rRNA from 1 species